UCGCCCCCACCCUCGCCGUUCCAAACCCUAACACAUCUUGCUGGCGGCGGCGGCUACCAGAAAUAGCACGACCAAUGGGCAGCCGGCUACGGGGACGGCGAGAAGUGGCGGCGGGGGACAGUGGUUCCUGUAUGGUGGCGAGGAAGAUUGGUCGUUGUUCUCUUCGAUAACCUCGCACCGGAGGGGCGUGGGCAGCCAAGUUGGCCCUCCGUGGCACCGUCGCCGCCACACGCCGUGCCGAGGGCCGCCACCGAUGGUGGCAAGGAGAAGCACACGCUCGGAAGCGGCGCCAGCCUCCAUCUCCGGCUCCUUUUAGUCGCCCACGGCAGCCGGCCGCGAUCAGCCUCCUCCACCCCACCCUUCUUCGUUCCUCAAAUGGAGGAGCACGAGCAACCCUGCUGCCAUUGCUACUCCCGCAUCUUCCUCAUCGGUGCUGAAGAGGAGCACGAGAAGCCAUCACUGCAAAGAUAGAGAUGGAUUAGGAGAUGCAGGGGGGCUGCUACAGUCAAAGGCUAACGUGAAAUGCCUGAUCUGUUGUGACCUCAGCUCCACCCGAUCUUGCAGAUUUGCACCUUUCCCAGAUGCUUUUUAAUCUAUGCCUAAGGUGCUCGAUGAAACUCCAAACAGGCUGACAUGGAAGAUUUAGCUAUGUGAUAUUUGUUCUUUGUUGUGUACAUACUAAUUUUUUUCUUCUCAAUUGAGCUCCAGUCAACUAUAAAUUUGUAGUCCAUCUGGCUUUGGUCAGAUCUAUCUAGGAAAGAAAAGAGAAAGAGUUUGGUGAAAAAGAAUAUGUUUUUCCCCUGUGAACAGAGUCAAGUUUGUUCUUGCCUUUUGACGUUAUGGUCUGUGGUACAAUAUGCUGGAAAGUGGCAAUUAGACAUUCUAAUAUUCUUUUGCAUAUCUUUUGCAUGAAUUUGGGGCUACUACAUCAUUCCAUUUGGUUGAACUUCCUAAAAAUCAAAGGGACAUGUUGGACUUUCAAGAUAUAAUAUCUCAGGUCUUAAACUUCUCAUUUCUGUUGCCAAACUGUUUGAAUAAGUUCGACUUUAGUGUUCUUUAGACAGUUGACAUCAUUUGUUCAAAAUUGUAUUCAGCUCUGCAAGAGUUUUCUCAUGGUAAUUGAAAGAGGUUUUUGUAAUUCGAAUCUGACACAAGUGCAAAACAGACACGGUAAGCUACUCACUAUAGUUUUAGAUAUAUGUUCUUUACUGUAGACAUGGGAAAUAUAAAAUAUCUGCAGGUGAUUAGAUAAUGUGACUCUUCCCCUAUUCUCCCCCAUUAGCCAUUUGCGUACCUUAUUUAUAAUUGAGCACUUACGUCUACUUCUAGGUAUGAUGGUCAUCACGUCCAGAUUCAUAGAUUAGCUAUUAGUAUUGGAUAUGUGCAAUUAUUUUCAGGUCAAGUGAAAAAAUAAACUUCUUGAUGUCCUGAUAGAUCAUCGAGUUGUCCAGCAUAGAGGUGGCCAGCUUUAUGCUAGAAUGCUGAAGUAAGUCUGAUUCAUGAGAAAAAAAACUCAGAAGCAGCGUUCUUGGUGGCUUGGAGGUGCAGGGAUUAGAGGUUUCAAAAAUUGGAAGUGGUAUUGGAGAUUCUUUAGAACAUUAAUAGAGGAGUUUAUUUUGAAGUAAGUGUGGGAAAAAGAAAACCUGGAUAGAUUAAAGAGGCUUCAGCUGGCCGCCACCGCUCGGAAAGUAGUACGAGGAGGAGGGGGACGAGGGUAGGAGUCUCCUGCAACCGAUGGAUUUCUCCGUCCCCCGGAACAUUCCCGCAUCGAGGGGAUGGACUCAAACGGUGGCGAACAACAGGGGGUGCAGCGCAUCCAUGGAUGGGGGCGACGCCUGUUGGAUCGACAUCGAAGGAUUCUGUCACCGCUACCCCCUGCACCAGGCGCCAGCUCCUCCCUCCCCACCGAUGUAGGCCACCUCGUCGGUAGCUCCGUCCUCACCGCCCCAGCCGCCUAGGCGAGAUAAGGUGCUUCUGGUCUCCCCUCCUCCUCUCCCUCUCCCGUCAGAUUCACCAUGCCUUCCCAGUACAAUUCCCUUUCCUAUUCAUGUAUAAAUUAUAUUGUUCUUAAUUUCAGUUAUUUGGUUGCAUAGCUCAUUGUUUUUACCUGUUGACAGUGCGAUUGGUCGCCUAUCUAUGGAUUGUUCGUGGGUUCUUGAUUGCUCUGGUUUUACCCCCCAAAAGUGUAAUGCUCUUUUAUUUUUAUUUUCGAAUUGUGUUUGAUGCAAACAUUAGUUUUACUUGUAUAGGGUAGAAGUUGAGAGAAAACUUCUUAAAACAUUGGUGCAGAACAAGGUUAUCUUUUCUUCUUCUGGUAUGUUCUUGUCAUCCAGAUUAUGAUCUUGUUGUUUGCUCGAGUCAUGAGGACUGUACACGUAGGAAAUAUGAGAAGAGGAAGAAGCAACAAUAUAAAAUUUAUUAAGAAGCUGAAGGUUUCAUAUUAGCCUCUUGCUUUGCAUAAUAAACCAUAGUAAGAUCCUUUUGUAGAUCAUGUUGUAGUUUACCCAUCACCCAAAAGAAUGUCACAUCAACUGCAGAAUUGUGACAAUUCAUAUUUAAUCUUCAGUAGAGUAUCAACCAUCCAAGAUGCAUUUUAUGGACUUAGGCUGUACAUUUUUUUUGGUUACUGAAUCUGUUCCAUAGUAGCAAUUGGAUGUGUUCAUAUAUUACUAUCCUAUUACCCAAUAAGUAUGCCUAUGCUUGAUUUGUACGCAUUCUGUUAAUUCUCAUGAUUAUUUUAAUUUAUGUUUGAGAUCAGAAAGUAAUUAUUGAUGCAGAAGUACAAUAUUUGUUCCCCUUUUCCUGUUUUGCACUCUGGAGCAAAAUAUAUGGGGGGGGUCCUGAUGAGCAUUUUCUACUUUCGAAGAUUUGGGCGAACGUAAAAGCAAAAAAUCAAAGAUGUUCAUCUAUCUGAACGUCACCUUACUUUGAUGCUCUGAUCUCAAGGAAGUAUUGUUCUGUGGUGGUGGUCUGCUAUCAAAACCAAAGUGGCAUGCAUGUAGAAAUAUGUAUGGAGAAUAUUAUUCCUCCCCUGCAAAUGUACUAACAUCCAGACUUAACCAACAGUGCAUCUGCUGGGAUAUGUACAACAAUCGAGCGAGCUCUGAGCCAACCAUCGACACGUAAAGCAUCUUUUGUGUGCAUCGGAGUUUAUGCUGCUUCUGAAUUUUUUUCAUUUGUGCAUCUUUUGUCUAUAUAACUUGUAAAGCGCGUGUGUUAGCUUAGUUAAGGUGUUUGGUCCAUAUUUCCAUACGAAUUUCUUUCAUGUAAGAAUCUUGGUCUAUGUAAACUACAUAAGCCGAUGUCUGGUAUUUCAUGGGAUCCAAAACUGA